CGCGGGAUGGAGCAGUCUGGUAGCUCGUUGGGCUCAUAACCCAAAGGUCGUAGGUCCAAAUCCUACUCCCGCAA
rnacentral:tRNA from 1 species